rnacentral:rRNA from 1 species
AACAUGAUGACUCUCGACAACGGAUAUCUCGGCUCUCGCAUCGAUGAAGAACGCAGCGAAAUGCGAUACUUGGUGUGAAUUGCAGAAUCCCGCGAAUCAUCGAGUCUUUGAACGCAAGUUGCGCCUGAGGCCAUUAGGCUAAGGGCAUGUCUGCCUGGGUGUC